CUUCUGAUAGCUCAGUUGGUAGAGCCUUCGACUGUAAUUGUGGCAUUGUAUCGAAUGGUCGUGUGUUCGACUCACACUCAGAAGA
rnacentral:tRNA from 1 species